UGGGGAAUCUUGCGCAAUGGUCGAAAGACUGACGCAGCCAUGCCGCGUGAAUGAUGAAGGUCUUAGGAUUGUAAAAUUCUUUUACCAGUGAAGAUAAUGACUGUAGCUGGAGAAAAAGCCCCGGCUAACUUCGUGCCAGCAGCCGCGGUAAUACGAAGGGGGCUAGCGUUGCUCGGAAUUACUGGGCGUAAAGGGCGCGUAGGCGGAUUAACAAGUUGGAGGUGAAAGCCCAGGGCUCAACCUUGGAAUAGCCUUCAAAACUGUUAAUCUGGAGUAUGGAAGAGGUAAGUGGAAUUCCGAGUGUAGAGGUGAAAUUCGUAGAUAUUCGGAGGAACACCGGUGGCGAAGGCGACUUACUGGUCCAUUACUGACGCUGAGGCGCGAAAGCGUGGGGAGCAAACA
rnacentral:rRNA from 1 species